AUCUGCCUUUUCAUUGGAUCCCGCGAAUUAGUUCAAACAUCAACCAAUCGGCGUGUUUUUUAUAUUAUCUUUUUACAUGGACUUGACUACACGGGUGUUCAGAAAAUAGACAGAACACAUGCAGAAAAAAAAAUGCCGAAACGAAAAGCGUAUUGCUUUCACAAUUGCCAAGAAGAAGAAAAAAAGAUUCCUCAUCGUACACGGACCAGGUGGAAAAAAAGGAAAAUCGAAAAAUAUCUACAUGACUUGGAAGGGGAAACUUUCCAGAGUGACACUAAUGAUAAUGAUGUUUCGCACUCACCAAAGGGGACUGAAGAAACCACCCCCACAGAUACAGGCCUCCAGUUAGACAUUUUGAAGUAAAUGGUAUUAAUAUUUUUAUAUAAGCCUGUUUUUUUUUUUUCUUUCACUUAAUUGAAUAAUGUUGUUACCUCUUUUAGGACAAUAUACUGUUACAACGAGAGACCACAAAAGAGUCACCAUCCAUAGAAAAACAGGUGAGAAGACAUUUGGAUACUGAAAAUUACCAAAGGCUAUUCUUUUGAAUUUUAUUAAUUGAUGUAUUGCCUUCUUUUAGGAUAUGUCACACCUCCCCAAAAGGAAAGAACAGCCACAAUCACCAAACACUAAUGUAAGAUUUCUUCCUUUGAAAAUGAUAAACUCUUAAUACUUGAUUCUGUAUUUCUUAACAUUCCCUUUCAUAUUCACAUUUAUUAGUUUGUUUUGUCCCCUCAUCCAGGUCAAUCUACCACUGAGGACAGAGCAGCCUAUAGCCAGAGAAAUACAGGUAAACAUGACCUAUUUCUAUUUUAGUUAGAUUUCUAUACGGUUCUAUUGCUAUAUUUGCUAUUGAUAAUUCAAAUUAUUUAUCUUAAGAAGUCUUGUUCUUUUUAGGAUGACAGCCCUAAGUCACAUUCACCAGAGACUUGAGAAGAUGGCACUUCAUCAGAAGUGCAGGUAAAUAAGGAAAUUAUCCCAGACUAUGUGUAAAUCAGGAAUGUUAUAUGUAAUUUAGGUUUACAUUGUGUUGUAGGUACAUUGUCCGUAAAUGUGUAGCGACAACUGAAUUUGAGAUGAGAUGCUUAAUUCAGUACAUAGCAUAAUGCAUUGUUGACGAGUUUAAAAAUAAGAAUAUAAACAUUUAAACUGUAACUUAUUUCUUUUGGUACACACUUUGAUUAUGAUCACUCCUAUUUUGAUUCUUUCCCAUUUGUUACAGAAUAUCAACCAUGCCGCUUCAGGUUCCUCUAAUGACCAUGUGACAGAUACCAGUUGGCUGAACAUCCUCGCAUUUUCCCUGAAGCACAAUGUAACAGGGGCUUUAAUGGAGGACCUACUGAAGCUGUUAAGGUUAUGUAGUGGGGAUGCUGCAAGCAUCCCACGUAGCAAGUACAUGCUAGAGAAGGCGUUUGAAGAUUUUGUAGACAAAUCAGAAUGCCAUCAUUAUUGUGGUGCUUGCAGCUCUUACAUUGGCCUUUCAGUGUCUAAGGACAGUGAAGUAAAAUGUCAGAUUUGCUCAUCAACACAAACUGUGAGACAAAGUUUAGAGUUGGGCCAAUUUUUUAUUUGUAUACCUUUGAGGGAUCAACUUAAAGCUCUUUUGGAGAAUGAACCUAUUACAAACAUUUAUAAUGACCAAAACAGAGAUGGAAUAACAGAUAUUUCUGAUGGGAAGUUGUACGAAUAUCUGAAAUCAGUUAGUGAUUCUUUCUUUACCCUGUGCCUGUUUUCCGGUCAUCUAAAUUCAGCAUCUGGCCCUUAUUAUGCUCGGUUAAUGAAGUAACCCGAGAGGAAAGAGAUAAAAAUGUCAUACUAUGUGCCUUGUGGUUUGGGUCAUCUAAACCAUUGAUGACUAGCUUCCUCAAACCUUUUGUGGAGGAAUGCAAAAGUCUUGGACAAAUGGGACUUCAGUGGCAGGAUCCAGUAGAUCACUCAAUCAAAACUGCAAAGGUCUAUGCAUUAUGUGCUAUAUGUGAUGCUGUUGCACGACCUUUACUGCAAAAUUUCAAACAGUUUAAUGGAGAAUAUGGGUGUGGGCAUUGUCUUCAUCCAGGUGUUCAAGUGAAAAAAGGCAAUGGGACUGUGCGAGUGUAUCCUUGUUUGGAGGAGAUGCCAGAACUUAGAGAUCACAACACAACUGUGCAAAUAGGUGAGAUUGCCAAAAAUAAUGAACAGAGCAUUUUGGGUAUAAAAGGGCCAUCUCCAAUUGUGGACUUGCCCCGUUUUGACCUGAUCAAUGGCAUGGUACCUGAUUAUAUGCAUUGUGUGUUACUGGGGGUUUGCCGGCAAAUAGCCACUUUAUGGUUUGAUUCCAAAAGCUACAGUCAACCAUGGUAUAUUGGUUUGAACACUGCAAGAGUGGAUGGAAAUCUUUUAGCUAUCAAGCC